rnacentral:rRNA from 1 species
UGAAUACGAGAUGCUACGGCGUCGAAGCAGUCUAUGUCAUACUUCCAAGAAAAGCUUGCACUGUCAUAAACAAAUAAUGCCUGUACCAUAACCGACACAGGUGGGUAGGUAGAGUAUACUAAGGGGCGCGAGAUAACUCUCUCUAAGGAACUCGGCAAAAUGACUCCGUAACUUCGGGAGAAGGAGUGCCUUAUUUAUAAGGUUGCAAUAACAAGAUCCAAGCAACUGUUUACCAAAAACACAGGUCUCCGCUAAGUCGUAAGACGAUGUAUGGGGGCUGACGCCUGCCCAGUGCCAGAAGGUUAAAGAAGUUGGUUAGCAUCCGCGAAGCUGAUAACUGAAGCCCUGGUGAACGGCGGCCGUAACGAUAACGGUCCUAAGGUAGCGAAAUUCCUUGUCGGGUAAGUUCCGACCCGCACGAAAGGCGUAAUGAUUUGGAUACUGUCUCGGAGAGGGGCUCGGUGAAAUAGACUUGUCUGUGAAGAUGCGGACUACCUGCACCAGGACAGAAAGACCCUAUGAAGCUUUACUGUAACCUGAAAUUGAAAUUGGACUUUACUUGCGCAGUAUAGGUGGGAGGCGUUGAGAAUAUUCUUGCGGGAUUAUUGGAGCCAUCAGUGAGAUACCACUCUUGUAAUGUUAGAUUUCUAACUUUGUAUCAUUAUCUGGUCAAAGAACAGUUUCAGGCGGGCAGUUUGACUGGGGCGGUCGCCUCCUAAACGGUAACGGAGGCGCACAAAGGUUUCCUCUGAACGGGUAGAAAUCGUAUCUAGAGUGUAAAGGCAUAAGGAAGCUUGACUGUGAGACCUACAAGUCGAGCAGGGACGAAAGUCGGUCUUAGUGAUCUGACGGUGCUGAGUGGAAAGGCCGUCACUCAACGGAUAAAAGUUACUCUAGGAUAACAGGCUGAUCUCCCCCAAGAGUUCACAUCGACGGGGAGGUUUGGCACCUCGAUGUCGGCUCAUCGCAUCCUGGGGCGGUAGUACGUCCCAAGGGUUGGGCUGUUCGCCCAUGAAAGCGGUACGCGAGCUGGGUUCAGAACGUCGUGAGACAGUUCGGUCCAUAUCCGGUGUAGGCGUUAGAAUAUUGAGAGGAGCCUUCUUUAGUACGAGAGGACCGAGAAGGACAUACCUCUGGUGUACCAGUUAUCGUGCCAACGGUAAACGCUGGGUAGCUAUGUGUGGAGUGGAUAACCGCUGAAAGCAUCUAAGAGGGAAGCCCACCUCAAGAUAAGUAUUCUCAUA